rnacentral:rRNA from 1 species
CGGAGGGGGCGUAGCGUUGUUCGGAAUUACUGGGCGUAAAGCGUACGUAGGCGGCUUGUAAGUUAGAGGUGAAAGCCCAGAGCUCAACUCUGGAAUUGCCUUUAAGACUGCAUCGCUUGAAUCGUGGAGAGGUUAGUGGAAUUCCGAGUGUAGAGGUGAAAUUCGUAGAUAUUCGGAAGAACACCAGUGGCGAAGGCGACUAACUGGACACGUAUUGACGCUGAGGUACGAAAGCGUGGGGAGCAAACAGGAUUAGAUACCCUGGUAGUCCACGCCGUAAACGAUGAUGACUAGCUGUCGGGGCGCUUAGCGUUUCGGUGGCGCAGCUAACGCGUUAAGUCAUCCGCCUGGGGAGUACGGCCGCAAGGUUA